rnacentral:lncRNA from 1 species
CGUGUCGAGAGAAGGUUCUCGGACUGUGGGGAUUGGCUUGUUAAGUGUGAAAGAAAUGCCUACUGUUGGGGACAUUAGAUAUGUAUGUUGGGUAGGAAUCUCAAAAGUGAUUGAUUUCCUCUUGAGACUAGCUAACUCGAGUGGUGAAUUAUCAUAUUUUCGAAUUCUUGUACCCGAGUUCCAAAGAGUGAUUCCUUUACGAUUAGUCGUUAUCCCGAGUAAUAUUAGGAUAAGUUUGGAUGGCGAAAGCCAAGGCACGGGGAAUGUGAAUAGUCUGGACU